rnacentral:rRNA from 1 species
CUACGGGAGGCAGCAGUGAGGAAUAUUGGUAAAUGGAGGCAACUCUGAACCAGCCAUGCCGCGUGCAGGAUGACGGUCCUAUGGAUUGUAAACUGCUUUUGUACGGGAACAAAUGUAAUUACGAGUAAUUAUUUGACGGUACCGUAAGAAUAAGGAUCGGCUAACUCCGUGCCAGCAGCCGCGGUAAUACGGAGGAUCCGAGCGUUAUCCGGAAUUAUUGGGUUUAAAGGGUUCGUAGGCGGC